GAUGAACGCUGGCGGCGUGCCUAAUACAUGCAAGUCGAGCGGUAAGGCCCCUUCGGGGGUACACGAGCGGCGGACGGCUGAGUAACACGUAGGAACGUACCCCAAAGUGAGGGAUAAGCACCAGAAAUGGUGUCUAAUACCGCAUGUGCUCUAAGGAGUAAAGCUUCGGCGCUUUGGGAACGGCCUGCGCAUGAUUAGCUUGUUGGUGAGGUAAUGGCUCACCAAGGCGACGAUCAUUAGCUGGUCUGAGAGGAUGACCAGCCAGACUGGGACUGAGAACGGCCCAGACUCCUACGGGAGGCAGCAGUAGGGAAUUUUCCACAAUGGGCGAAAGCCUGAUGGAGCAACGCCGCGUGCAGGAUGAAUGCCUUCGGGUUGUAAACUGCUUUUAUAUGUGACGAAUAUGACGGUAGCAUAUGAAUAAGGAUCGGCUAACUCCGUGCCAGCCGCCGCGGUAA
rnacentral:rRNA from 1 species